rnacentral:rRNA from 1 species
UACGUAGGGGGCAAGCGUUGUCCGGAUUUAUUGGGCGUAAAGAGCGUGUAGGCGGCCAGACAGGUCCGUUGUGAAAACUCGAGGCUCAACCUCGAGACGUCGACGGAAACCGUCUGGCUAGAGUACGGAAGAGGAAGGCGGAAUUCCCGGUGUAGCGGUGAAAUGCGUAGAUAUCGGGAGGAACAUCAGUGGCGAAGGCGGCCUUCUGGUCCAGUACUGACACUCAAGUGCGAAAGCGUGGGGAGCAAACAGG